rnacentral:tRNA from 1 species
GGCGUUGUAACAAAGUGGUUACUGUGUUUGACUCGAAAUCAAAUCCCUUCGGGGGCGCAGGUUCGAAUCCUGCCAGCGUCG